CACAAAUCUCCCCACAUCUGGACCCAAGGGGAGUGAGGACAGGGAGAGGGGAGAGAAGACACGCAGGAGGCCUUCUGAACGGUAAACCACGGCUGAGUGGAUCUCAGGACCUCACUGGGUGGUGCCAUCUCUGGGGGAGAGGGGGUGACAGAGGCUCAGGUCACAUUCUCCCAACAAGCUUUGGCUUCCUUCACCAAUCUAUGUAUUGGGGUGUGUGAAACUAAAACUGUAUAAAUCCCUCUUACAUAUCUGUUCAAGUCCUAAAGACCCCGUUCUUCACUGCUCGGGACCCCAUCUCCCAAAUUCCAUUUGCAGCUCCACCUUUGACAAGUUACUUAGCCUCAUAAAAGCAUUCUUCUUCUAUCUAUCUGAAUGUUGUUCAAAAGAAGAUUAAAUGAAUGCACAAAGUACUUGGAGUCCCAUGAGUAAACUCUAAGAACGAUCCUUACCACCAUGCCCUUCUCAUAGCUCUUGCUUCAGACCUUCACACCCAGUACUUACCUGCCUACUGGGGGUCUCUGGAGCUGGGGGCCGCUGAGAGAAGCUCUAGGAGGCGGGCCUGGGGGUGGGGGUGCUGAAAGAAGAAGCUAGCUAGAAUAGGAGUUGCCUGUGCCCUGCGCCAGAUUAAGCGCGCCCCCUGGUGGGAGCUGCUACAAGUGUACCAGCCCUAAGGGCCAGAUCCUGGAGGCAGGUUCAGGGAUAUGGGCUCACGGGGUUGGGGGUGGGGCAGGUAGACUACUAGACUGUCUGAACGUGUGGAAAUAGGUGUGGGGUUCUGGCGGAGCAGAAGUCAGUACCUGAGUGUGCGCAGACGAGACCAAGCCCAGCGGCCAGCGCAGCACCCAGCACGAA
rnacentral:lncRNA from 1 species